CUUGAAUAACUUUGCAAGCUUUUUUGCUUGCAGAGAAAUGGAAUAUUCCUUACCUAAAGUGUAGGACAUUGUUUUGUUAUGUUUAGUCAUUUUCAGUUACGGUGAAAGAACAUCGCAAACGUAAGUAGAACAUUGUAUAUCUUUUGCCUAUUCAGUUCAUUGGUUUCCAAGCUUCAAUGAAUGCAUGCUCUGAGGCGCGUAUAUUUUUGUUGAAGUUUUAGUAUGUUUGCACGUUUCAUCUUCAUUUUGUAAUGCUGAGUAAAAUGAGUAAUUACAAUUUUAAUUUUUCCUAUUUUUAAUUUGGUAUGAUUGUCUCAAAACAGCACGCCAAUUUUAACAAAAUUAAUCCCCAGCUCUUUGGACUCGCAGAUAAGCUUUAAAUCCAUUUAAAUUGAUUAAAAUUGUUAGUGACAGCAUUCAUUCUGAACCUCGCGCUUUAUAAAAUAUUUCGAUCUUAUUGCUUUAUAAUAGUGUCUCAUUUGGGUUUUUUUCUGGCCAUAGAAUCACAACUGAUACCUGUGUGCAUUUAAGGUCAGCAAAUCGAAAAAAACACUAUUCCACUACAACAUGCAAGAGUGCUCUGUCUUGUACUGAAGACUGAAGUUUCAAAUGCUUUGGAAUUUUGUUACGCCCAGAGGCAAGCGCAACAACUAAAAAUGUGAACAUAUUUUGUAGAAAUCGUGGUGACUGGAAGCAUCGAGUAGAAGUAUAUAUAAUUGUAUGUGGAAUGAAAUAUAUAGAGAUGAAAGAUUAUUUGAUUUGAUCAUGAAUGCAAAUUUUGGUUAGAAGGUAUUGACAAAAAUUGAAGAUUUUUAUUCUUAAUAUCUGAAAUAGAAAAGAUCAUUAUGUUACAGUCUCUUGCACGUUUCUUAGUAAAUGCCUCCAAAUUCCCCUCGCAAACUUCCAGCAAGCAAAUUUGUGGGACAAUUCCCUUUUCUGGUGGCCUCGUUCUGUUUUAACAGGUUUUGAAAAUAAUUAAUUGUGAUCAGACUUUUGUUUUUUGAAAAAUGCACGCAAACGUACACAUGACCUGACUAAUAAAAUAAUUAUAUAGCCAUCAAAGCCAAUAAAUCACUUUAGACUUUAGUGCAUUCCUCUGGUUAUUCGUCUAUGACAUACGGAUCAGACAGACGGUCACCCAUCCGCUGCGUUUAGUUCUACUCCUAAGUUUACCUUUACCUCUUCACUGCCUCUGUACUGAAAAUACUAACAGUUCAUGCAAUGUUCUUUUUAGAUUCUUUACUUGGUGGCUCGAUUAACUUGUAGCGACUAGAGAACUGUUUAGAACCAGAUAUGAAUUAAAUUUCAAAUGUGGAUUUGCUUGUGACCUCGUUAGAUAAGUAUAUUUCAAAAUGGACAAAGGUAUGUUCUCUGAGUACUCAUUAAAGAGUCUUGUAGUUCGUUUGUGGAGACGAUUUCGUCAUCAACUCUUAUGAACCAAUUUUUUGUCGGAUAUUUUGGGGUUUUUGUAGUUUUAAUCGCGACUUGUGAAGUUGUGUCCAAUCAAAACUUUGAAAAGUUUUAGUCUAUAAAUUUAUAUUAAAGAACAAUUUUUUGUUACAAAACGGAACAAGCAGGAAACAACUUAGUUGUUACUGAACAUUGUGAGUUUCUCAAGCACUUUCCAUUACAACCAAACGACCACUUUGACAAACUCAAUAACCAGACUGAGCAACACUUGCACUGGUAUGACAUACCACUAUACGCUGUAACAAUGAUUACGAAAAACGAUCAACGACAUCCCCGACACGAACUUGAUGAGACCACAGUGGUGUGACCGAUACAAAACAAUACGAGGAAAACGAGACGUACCAACAGCACGCUAUUUGUUUACAAAACGCACGAAACUUUAACGUAACCACCGUGCCAGAAACACUGUAAACGCAACGAAAUCUGACUAAGACGCUGUAUACGAAAAACGAACAGCACAGAAACGAAUAACGGGACCAAAACGCUGAACUUAAUACACUGAACUAUACUGAUGGUAAAAGAACGAACAAAAUGAAUGACUGACAAGAACGGAACUUCGAGUACAAAUAGACUAAUUAGUUCAAUUCUUCAAACUGAACUCACACGGAAGGCGACAUAAAAGCAAUAAUCUAGCAAAUAUAUUGAUUGAAAUUCAAAUAACAGAAACUUAUUAACAUUACUUUGAACAAAACUGUCAAUGCAAAAUGCGGAUAAAAUGACUGCACGACCACGUUUGCCAUUUGUGCUUGGGAAAACGUGCAACUCGCAGCAAUUAAAUUGUACAGGAUAAAUUAUAAGAUAACUUUAGUUCUGAAGAUAUGUACAGUACAUGUUAGUUGAAGUUUGGAGUCAGACAUGGUGUUUUACUGACAAAACUCGCAAGAUAAAAACGAAAAAGGGUAGGCAAAACUGAAAAAUAACGACACUCAUUUAUAGGGUAAUCAAAACGUAGUUACUGAGUAUUUCACAAUUUUAAUCAAAUUUAUUUUUGAUCGAUUUUGACAGGUAGCCAGGUGGGUGAGACGAUAUUUUACGAACAUUGACGGAACUUUACGAAUAUUGACAGAACAGGACUAUACCUCACUGACUGUGACGCAACUAUAACAACGAAAACUGAUGACGUAAUGACAACGACUUUACAACUAAUUACUAACAUUAUACUAACGACUACGCUAUAAAACAACAAACAGUGCAGAAAAUACAAACGACAAGUGAAAAUUAUCGCGACUGUUCAUACUUUUAAUCAUUUGUAGGACGUCGCAAUAAAUUUCAAUAAACGACAAUAUUCAGGAGAAAGUCAGUAAACACAUGUAACUAACAAAAUAAUAUAUACAGUGAAACCACAGGGACAAACCUACCAUUGGUAAACAAACAACCAAACAAACAAACAAACAAAUAAACGAACAAACAAACAAACGAAGAUAUUAACAAACCAUUACAGACAAGCCAACAAAAAACAUAUGAACAGUUAAAUUAAUAAACAACAAAUUGUGACCGACAAAGUGACUAAACGAUAGCUUUCAGACUGACCUGACAAACCUGACAAACCAGUUCUGAAACAUUAUCCACUCAACCUCGUACCCAGGAUCUUACCUAUGCGAAGGUAAGAGCCUGGGCACAGAUAUGGCCUGGGUACGAGGUUGUUACCCACUCUGCCUUGAACAACUUAACGUGACUGACUGACAUACUUUACAAUCAACGGAUAAAUCCCGCGACUAACUGACGAACCAGUAACGACUGACUUCGAAAUACAUACUUAACGAUCUUACUUACUGCGCGAUGACCUUGAACUUAAAUGCCUACAUGAACUAACCAACUCUUGCCAAACUAUGACAAACUAGAACGGGCUUACCUUCUACACAUACCUAUUACUAACUAAAUCGAACUCGACCAACUGACUCGGACAGACUAAAACAUUAACUUUGACCAUUUGCCAUUCCAUUUUCGCUUGUUGGCACACCUACGAACACUAUAGGACUACACGAAUUAUUGAUGGACUUUUCUUUUAACUGAACGAAAUUGACAAAACAACCAACUUUGACCACGACUUACCAACAAACUAGAACUGAUGAUUGUAUGACUAAACAUGACUAACAGAUGUAACUUACUGACCAAACGAUCCAAAUGACUCGACUUGGAAUCGUAGACUAGAUGACUUUUUGACCAGUUACCUUGACUGAUUGACUGACUGACUUACUUUAAAACGAAAUCUUGCCCCGACUUACCAACGAACUGACUGAGACACCAACGACCUACCAACCAUCUUACUGACUGAGUACAUUACUGCUACCAAUCUGACUAAUUACAUUUAUACUGACUUGCCCAAAAAACAAACUAGAAUUACACAUGGCUUUUUUACCUGGACUAUUGACUGGACGAUUGACUGGACGAUUGACUGGACUAUUGACUGGACUAUUGACUGGACUAUUGACUGGACUAUUGACUGGACUAUUGACUGGACUAUUGACUGGACUAUUGACUGGACUAUUGACUGGACUAUUGACUGAACUAUUGACUGGACUAUUGACUGGACUAUUGACUGGACUAUUGACUGGACUAUUGACUGGACUAUUGACUGGACUAUUGACUGGACUAUUGACUGGACUAUUGACUGGACUAUUGACUGGACUAUUGACCGGACUAUUGACUGGACUAUUGACUGGACUAUUGAAUGGACUAUUGACUGGACUAUUGACUGGACUAUUGACUGGACUAUUGACUGGACUAUUGACUGGACUGUUGACUAUGGCAGACGAACCUACAAAAAUGUGUUUAAACUGUUUACCCUGAAGUAAUACGACAUAUCCACUAAGUGCUACUGAAUAACAAAACCACAAAACUGACGUAAAUACAUGAUGACUUAUUAAGCAUGGUUUUCAUUUGGUCGGAACGGUCCCUAACAUAUCGAGGUUGCUGAUGUUAAGACUAGUUUACACCACCAAAGUUUCUGUGAUGACAGCAGGAAUCUUUCAUAGGUAAAUUCUAGGUUUUGAAAGAUUUGUAAUAAAUGUGUGAGGGUAUACUGAUUCAGUGUUUAACACUGAGUCAGUUUCCUCAAACAUUUCUUAUAAAUCCUUCUCAAAACUUAGAAUUUACCUAUGAAAGAUUCCUGCUGUGCUCACAGGAAUUUUGAUAAAAUAAACCAGCCUUUAUAAAAUGGCAAUUAACUCGUCUAUCAAAAAAUUGCUUGUACAUGCAUAUACAGUAGUACACGCAAGCCAAGAUAGAUUCAGAUAGAUAAAAAUAUAUCCAGACUAUUUCACAUCGUCGUAAAUGACUUGCUGACGACAGUUACGACGAAAUGGAAAUCAGGCCUUAUUGACCAACUGACUUACUUAUCAACUAUACCAAGUGACUUAUUAAGGCCCGUUCAAACGAGGCGAACAGGUUCGUCCAGCAUCAUCCAAUAUUCUUGAGUGAAACUUUGCCGGCGUCGUUGGAACACUAUGUUGGGGAGUGCUGUGCAAUGCUGGAUUGAGUUUGACUUUGUUUCAGAAAAUUUUCAUCCAAUAUUGUUCAACAUUGUUGGAUCAUCAGCUCACCGACUUACUGACCAAACAAUACCGAGUGACGUAACUGAUCAACCAUACUAACUCACAUACUGACUUCUAACUGAUUAAGAAAAACUGUUCGAAAUUGACAAAACGACCAACUAACUUGACUGAACAAAUAUGUGCCACUUAACACCUGACCAAUCUAACACCGACGUAGACUAACCAACCAACUAACUUAUUAUUUACAAAACCAACUGACAUUUAAUGACUAAAUUACUUACAUACUUAUGGUGACUCUAACUUACCAACUGACGUACUGACUAAAUUACUUACCAACCAACUGGUUUACUGACAACUACCAUUUGCAAACGAUUUACUGCCAACGACAAAAAGCAUGCUUGGUGACACACCCUUGUAUAUUACAACAUGUAAGUAACUAUACUAACUGAACAACUGCAUGACUUAAACUGACUUGAUGACCACUUGACUUCUUACCAACUACCAACCAACUUAAACAAGUAACUACUGCAGACUCACAGAACAACUGCUUGACUUAAACUGACUUAAUUAAUGACCAGCUGACUUCUUACCAACUACCAAUCAACUUAAACAAAUAACUAACUACUGACUCACUGAACAACUGUUUGACUUAAACUGACUUAAUUAAUAACCAGCUGACUUUUUACCAACUACCAACCAACUUAAUUAACUUACUGACCAACUAAACCGACUAAUUAGCGACCAGUUCUGACCAACUGUUCAAUGAUAAGCUAGCUUACUAAUUAAGCUACCUAUACCAAAUUGUCCAAAUACCAACUAACGUAAUGACUUCUUGACCAACUGAUUUACUGAAGAAUUAGUGAUUUACCAUUUGACUGACUAACCAAGCACCAACUAGUUCAAUGACCAACUACCAACAUACUUAUUAAACAACUAACAGGACUGACGUACUGACCAUUUCAACUUCCAACAAAACUACAAACUAACAUAAUGACUUAUUGACCAACUAUCAACUUACUUACCAACUGACGUUCUCACCAACUAUUUACUAACUAGUAGUGACGAACUAAACUGACUUAGGGACCAACCAAUUCUAACCAACCAACCAACCAACCAACCAACCAACCAACCAACCAACCAACCAACCAACCAACCAACCAACCAACCAACCAACCAACCAACCAACCAAC
rnacentral:lncRNA from 1 species